CUAAGCAUAUCAAUAAGCGGAGGAAAAGAAACUAACAAGGAUUCCCUAGUAACUGCGAGUGAAGCGGGAAAAGCUCAAAUUUAAAAUCUGGCGGUCUCUGGCCGUCCGAGUUGUAAUCUAGAGAAGUAAUGCCCGUGCUGGACCGUGUAUAAGUCUCCUGGGAUGGGGCGUCAUAGAGGGUGAGAAUCCCGUCUUUGACACGGACUACCAGUGCAUUGUGGUAUGCUCUCAAAGAGUCGAGUUGUUUGGGAAUGCAGCUCAAAAUGGGUGGUAAAUUCCAUCUAAAGCUAAAUAUUGGCGAGAGACCGAUAGCGAACAAGUACCGUGAGGGAAAGAUGAAAAGAACUUUGGAAAGAGAGUUAAACAGUACGUGAAAUUGCUGAAAGGGAAACGCUUGAAGUCAGUCGCGUUGGCCGGGGAUCAGCCUUGCUUUUGCAUGGUGUACUUUCUGGUUGACGGGUCAGCAUCAAUUUUGACCGCUGGAAAAAGACCUGGGGAAUGUGGCAGCUUCGGCUGUGUUAUAGCCCCUAGUCGCAUACAGUGGUUGGGAUUGAGGAACUCAGCACGCCGCAAGGCCGGGUUUCGACCACGUUCGUGCUUAGGAUGCUGGCAUAAUGGCUUUAAGCGACCCGUCUUGAAACACGGACCAAGGAGUCUAACAUGCCUGCGAGUAUUUGGGUGGAAAACCCAAGUGCGUAAUGAAAGUGAAAGUUGAGAUCCCUGUCGUGGGGAGCAUCGACGCCCGGACCAGAACUUUUGGGACGGAUCCGCGGUGGAGCAUGUAUGUUGGGACCCGAAAGAUGGUGAACUAUGCCUGAAUAGGGUGAAGCCAGAGGAAACUCUGGUGGAGGCUCGUAGCGAUUCUGACGUGCAAAUCGAUCGUCAAAUUUGGGUAUAGGGGCGAAAGACUAAUCGACCAUCUAGUAGCUGGUUCCUGCCGAGUUUCCCUCAGGA
rnacentral:rRNA from 1 species